rnacentral:rRNA from 1 species
GUAGGUGAACCUGCGGAAGGAUCAUUAUCAUACAACUGAGGUGCAGGGGCUGUCGCUGACCUUGAAAGGGGUUGUGCACGCCCAAGCGCUUUUUCACAUCCAUCUCACCCCUUUGUGCAUCACCGCGUGGGCCCCUCUCUGCGGAGAGGGCCUGCGUUUUCACAUAAAACUUGAUACAGUGUAGAAUGUCUUCUUGCGGUCACACGCAAUAAAUACAACUUUCAACAACGGAUCUCUUGGCUCUCGCAUCGAUGAAGAACGCAGCGAAAUGCGAUACGUAAUGUGAAUUGCAGAAUUCAGUGAAUCAUCGAAUCUUUGAACGCACCUUGCGCCCCUUGGCAUUCCGAGGGGCACACCCGUUUGAGUGUCGUGAAAUUCUCAAAACCUCUUCUUUGACCCUUUUACUGGUCGGGAAGAGGAUUUUGGACUUGGAGGUUUAAUAAUGCUUGCUUAAAGUGAGCUCCUCUCAAAUGGAUUAGUGGGGGUCUGCUUUGUCGGUCCUUGACGUGAUAAGAUGUUUUGACGUCUUGGAUUUGGCACUGUCGCUUGGAUGCCUGCUUCUAACUGUCCAUCUCAUGGACAACGAUGGUGCUUUGGUCUCUCCCAUCCACGUUGGUGAGAGAGGCUGGACCCACAAAAAAAAAACCUUGACCUCAAAUCGGGU